rnacentral:rRNA from 1 species
UACGUAGGGUGCGAGCGUUAAUCGGAAUUACUGGGCGUAAAGCGUGCGCAGGCGGUUCGCUAAGACCGAUGUGAAAUCCCCGGGCUUAACCUGGGAACUGCAUUGGCGACUGGCGGGCUAGAGUAUGGCAGAGGGGGGUAGAAUUCCACGUGUAGCAGUGAAAUGCGUAGAGAUGUGGAGGAAUACCGAUGGCGAAGGCAGCCCCCUGGGCCAAUACUGACGCUCAUGCACGAAAGCGUGGGGAGCAAACAGG